GAUGAACGCUAGCGGAAGGCUUAAUACAUGCAAGUCGAGCGGUAGGUGGCUUCGGCCAUUGAGAGCGGCGCACGGGUGAGUAACGCGUACAUGACCUGCCUGUCAGAAGGGGAUAGCCCUGGGAAACUGGGAUUAAUACCCUAUGGUAUUGAUAUUAUGAAUGAUAUCAAUUAAAGUUGAGGCGCUGACAGAUGGAUGUGCGUCUGAUUAGCUAGUUGGUAGGGUAACGGCCUACCAAGGCGACGAUCAGUAGGGGGCGUGAGAGCGUGGUCCCCCACACGGGUACUGAGACACGGACCCGACUCCUACGGGAGGCAGCAGUAAGGAAUAUUGGUCAAUGCCCGCAAGGGUGAACCAGCCAUUCCGCGUGGAGGAUGAAGGCCCUAUGGGUUGUAAACUUCUUUUGGAUGGGGCGAAAAAACGGGAUUUAUCCUGGACUGACGGUACCAUCAGAAUAAGCACCGGCUAACUCCGUG
rnacentral:rRNA from 1 species